GCUUUUGUAGUGUAGUGGUCAGCACGCUCGACGCAUAACCGAGAGGUCCGUGGUUCGAUUCCCGGCGAAGGCG
rfam:Stegodyphus mimosarum contig5098, whole genome shotgun sequence.